rnacentral:rRNA from 1 species
CAGCCCCUCGAGUGGUGGGGAUGAUUAUUUGGCCUAAAGCGUCCGUAGCCGGCCGAGCAAGUCUUCCGUUAAAUCCAGCGUCUCAAGCGUUGGACUGCGGGAGAUACUACACGGCUAGAGAGUGGGAGAGGUCAGCGGUAUUCUGGGGGUAGGGGCGAAAUCCUUUGAUCCCCGGAGGACCACCAGUGGCGAAGGCUGCUGACUAGAACACGUCUGACGGUCAGGGACGAAAGCUGGGGUAGCGAACCGGAUUAGAUACUCGAGUAGUCC